rnacentral:lncRNA from 1 species
UUUUUUCAAUGGAUUUAUUCAAAAUCAUUAAGAUGCAUAGAAGUAGUUUUUAAUGUCAGUACACCCCCACCCUCUUGUAAAACAAUAAACAAACCAACAAAAAGAAAACAGCACAGACUGAGAGAAUAUUCAGUACUUCAGUAUUAUUUUGGCACAGCUAAAAUGACAGAAUUGCUGGUUGAAAUUAAAGGUACUGAUGAGCUGGAAUCUGCAAUCGCAUCAGUAAUAAGAAGAAGAGGCCCGCUUAAAUAAAUGAUAUAUAUUUUAAGUUCUAAUUAAAGGUAGACUGCUCCAAACCUUUCAGCCGAAUUCAAAAGUAGCACACAAGAUCAAAAGCUUGAGCUAAUUAGCACUGCCAUUACUAAUAUAGCAUACCUUUCACAGUUUCUUUAUGAGUGUGUCCAAACAUUUUCCAGAGCGAGCACCCAAACACAGCUUUUCAUGCUGUUCAAAGAUCCGUCAAAUCAUCCCAUAUCCAACUAUGGGGUCUUUUUUUGAACAGCAGAGUGAGGCCAGAGCAGAGGAAGAUAUAAUGAGAGUGAAAAAACAUUAGAGAGUCAAUGCAGCAGCACCUGCCAGCUGCUUCUUCAGGUCCACUCAGCUGUAAACACGUGGAAUUCAAUGGCAGACCCAGUCCACAGAAGAUGUGCUUUUAGAUUUAAAAGUUCCCUUUGGCCACAUUCACAGCAACAUAAACAUCUUUUCUAUUUUGGUCAACAGCUUUGUUGAGUCUUACUUCUCUCUUCAAGAUUUCCAAACUACUCAUAAGGAGCAGAGCCGAUUCUAGUGUGCUGGGGCCCCAAGCAAAAAUUCUCAAGGGGCCCCUCUGACAAGCAUUAAACGUAUAAAUGAUCUGAAACCAACAAAAGAGGACAGAAAAUUUUUUAAAGCAAUUAUCAUUAUUACUAUAUAACUUGAAAAUAUUGCACCAAAAUAGCUACAGCUCUGGUAUGUUUUUACCAAUACAACCAGCACUUCACCCUCGUUCUAAGAUUUGAUGUCUGAGACUUAAUUCAGUUUGUUAAAUGCUUCAAAGUUGAUAGUCUUUCAUGCAGAAAGCACACUGUGUAAAUAUAAAUAUCGGCUAGUUAAGACACAACUGUCAUUAAUAGUGUUUCAUUAACAGUGACAGUUGUUGUCUGGGUUACCUGUUUUUUCUGUCCAAAUCACUCCGCUCACGGUGUUCUAGUUAAUUUGGUGAAAUUUCAGUGUUGUACCUUACAAGUGCACUUUCGUUUAAACAUACAGUAACAGCAAGUCAACAAAGCAGGAACCCCAGGCUUCACUGACAUGGCUAACUACCUACCAAACAAUUCAUUGCCAGACUUACACCUAAUGCUAGUUAAAGUGUUUGCCACACUUCUCUAUCUACUCCACUUACCACUGUCUUGCUUUCUCCUUAUUUCUUUCUCUUUGCUUUUUUCUUUUCUCACUCCCUGAUAAGUAGCUUCACUUCACGGCUGAUUUUGACAUUACUUUGAUUGACAUACUUCAGUAAAGAUGGACGUAGGGCAUGUAGCAGUGCAACAGGAUGACAUGGGGCCCCUUAAGGGGGGGUAUCCGUCUAAGAUGUCAUUGCAAUUUGACCUCUAAUUGUUGCAAAAUUUCAGGACAUUUUCAUGAACUGAGGCCCGUCAGCCCUUGGGGGCCCCCUAGUGGCCUGGGGUCCCAAGCAACUGCCUGCCUUGCCUGUUGACAAGCUCCGGCUCUGACGAGGUGUAUCACAGCUGUGACCCUGAACUGAACAAAUGAACUUCAGGAACUUGACUCUACUAAAACCACAUUCAAACAGCAGGACAAUUCAAGAGUGUUUUUACAAGUGGCUCUCACUUCUAUCAUUAAUUAUAACCUCUAACGUGUUUUUUCACCAGGAUAAUUGCUGAGCUACACAAACACGGUGGCAAUGUGCUGACACAUUCUGAUUCAAGAACAACAACACCAGUCACAAACUCAGACAGGCCCUCAAGAGGACAGCAGAUAAACACUUUAAAAAACCCUUCAAACACUUGCUGCUUAGAUGAUCAUAUACCCUUUCAUUUUAUUGUCACCAACGAAGUUUGGCAACCCUGGAUUGUUUAGCUCGGUGAAAGGAUUCAGUUACAAUUUGUGUCAUUUAUCCAGCCCACAGCUACCAUUCAGAAGCUGCUUUCAACACUUUAUUCUCCUUCCAGUUCUCCACUGCAAAGUGUGACGGUCUGCCAGCGACAAAUUAAAACAGGAGGACUGUUCAUCCAAAUAAGCAGAUUAGAGAGUGUCCUGAAUGUCUGCACCAGAUCAAUUUGAUCAGUCAUCAUAUUUACGGAUGCAUCUAGCUGGCUGUUAAGCUCUAUGUGAGGAUGGCACUCUAUGUACCUUCAUCUGACUGAAACAACAGGACUCAAUCAUGGUGAUGCCACCAGGUUCAACAUUCCCCCGGUAUCUUUUACAUACUGUAUAUGGCUUCACAAACUCGCAUAAAGGAAAUCCGAUUGAACAGUCCCAUGACGCUGAUAAGUCAAACUGGAGUUACUGUGAGUGCAUUCACAUAAACGGGCUGUUUUAAAUACAUGCAGUCAGCAGAUCCUAAUAUUUUUCAAACAUAGAGAAAACAAUAUU